rnacentral:rRNA from 1 species
UAACACAUGCAAGUCGAGCGGUAAGGCCUUUCGGGGUACACGAGCGGCGAACGGGUGAGUAACACGUGGGUGAUCUGCCCUGCACUUCGGGAUAAGCCUGGGAAACUGGGUCUAAUACCGGAUAUGACCUCCUAUCGCAUGGUGGGUGGUGGAAAGAUUUAUCGGUGCAGGAUGGGCCCGCGGCCUAUCAGCUUGUUGGUGGGGUAAUGGCCUACCAAGGCGACGACGGGUAGCCGACCUGAGAGGGUGACCGGCCACACUGGGACUGAGACACGGCCCAGACUCCUACGGGAGGCAGCAGUGGGGAAUAUUGCACAAUGGGCGAAAGCCUGAUGCAGCGACGCCGCGUGAGGGAUGACG